CAGUCGUACCGGCGGAUAAUCAGCCUUUCGGGUGCGAUUCUGUGGGGCGUGAGGAGCUUAACCGCCUUCAUGUUUUGCAUAUUCGUGCACAUUUGGUGUACUUGUCCGUGUGCUGGGUCAACAUCAAUUUCGGUCGCCAUAAAAUGACUGGAGGGAAUGUAGCUUUGGUCUCGUAUCGAAGUGUUAUAGACUCUGGUAGAUGUGACGAUUGGGAUUGGAGGAUUGCAACGGAUACCCUUCGGGGCUACUCGUCUGAUCUCUGAAGGUUGCGUCCGGUGCCGAAAGCGUGCUUACGGUCA
rnacentral:rRNA from 1 species